GAUGAACGCUGGCGGCGGGCCUAACACAUGCAAGUCGAACGGACAGACAGUGAGCUUGUGCCUUUGCCGGUGGCGGCGGGCGGGCGGGUGACGAGUGCAUCACAAACUUAUUUUUCGGGGGGGAUAACGGAAAGCAGGUUACAAUACUACCGAAUAUGUUGUACGGCUGGGAGCAGUGGAUAUUGGCGGCUUGCGUGUCUGUAUGAGCCGAUGCCGGAUUAGCUAGUUGGGUGGGUAACGGCCCACCAAGCCAACGAUGCGUAGCUGACCUGAGAGGAUGAUCGGCCACACUGGAACUGAGACACGGUCCAGACUCCUACGGGAGGCAGCAGUAGGGAAUAUUGGGCAAUGGGCGCAAGCCUGACGCAGCCAUACCGCGUGGGUGAAGAAGGCCUUCGGAUCGUAAAGCCCUUUUGUUGGGGAAGAACAGCUGUGGAUUAAUACCCCGCCGUUUUGACGGUACCCAAUCAAUAAGCACCGGCUAACUACGUG
rnacentral:rRNA from 1 species